AACUUAAUCAUUUAUACCGUAGACAGCAGGAGCCGAUUGAGGCUUAAUAACCUGCCGAGGUAAUACGAUAGAUUUUAAUUGCUUGAACGAGCUAUUGUAUACUUCCUCCAUGUCUACCUUUGAUAUGGAGGUUUUUUAAUG
rnacentral:sRNA from 1 species